rnacentral:tRNA from 1 species
GCGGGUGUAGUUCAAUGGCAGAACUUCAGCUUCCCAAGCUGAUAAUGCGGGUUCGAUUCCCGUCACCCGCUCCA